ensembl:lncRNA LINC02864 long intergenic non-protein coding RNA 2864
GAGUAGCUGGAACUACAGGCGCCCGCCAUGAUGCCCGGCUCAUUUUCUGUGUUUUCAGUAGAGACGGGGUUUCACUGUGUUAGCCAGGAAAGUCUUGAUCUCCUGACCUCGUGAUCCUGACCUCGGCCUCCCAAAGUGCUGGGAUUACAGGCGCGAGCCACCGCGCCCGACAGCAGUUAUGAAGUUCUAAAAGCAAGUCUUAAUCAGGAAGUGUCCUUGAUCACCAACGGCUCGCCCAGGCAUGCUGGCUCUCUUCCACUUCCACCUUCCACCAUGGGAUGACGCAGUAAGAAGGCCAUCAGUAGAUGCCAGUCCCUCAACCUUGAACUUUCCAGACGCAGAACUGUAAGAAUGAAUCUUUGUUCAUUAUAAAUUACCCAGUUGCAAGUAUUCUGUUAUGAUAGUGUAGCACAAAAUAGAUUAUUAAGAUGAAUGUCAAGCAUUAGAAUGUUAGUCAAGCUGUAAAUCUCAAAAAUUUUCCUCCUAUGUGUUUUUCUAAAAGCUGAUGGUGUACAUUUUACAUUUAACUCCAUCAUCCAUUUUGAGUUAACUUUGUAUAAACUGUGAAGUUUAAUUUGAGAUUGUCUAUUUUAUAGAUGUUAAUUGCUUUAGUAGCAUUUAUUGGAAUGGCUUUCCUUCCUCCAUUGAAUUGCCUUUGCAUCUUUGAAAACAGUGAAUUGGGCAUAUUCAUGUGAGUCAAUUUCUGAGCUUUCUACUGUGUUCCAUGGAUCCAUAUGUCUAUCUCUCCACAAAUAUUACCAAAUCUUGACUGUAGCUAUAUUAUGUCUUGAACUAUGGUAGACUAAUUUUUUCUGUCUUUUUCUAUCUAAAAAUUCAUCUAACUACUAUAGUUUUUUUGCCUUUCCAUAAAAAUAUAAAAUAAUCUCAUCUGUAUUUACAAAUAAUUUUUCUCUCAUUUUGAGAUAAAUUGCAUUAAGAUUGUAUAUCAACUUGGGGAAAAUUGUCACUUUACUAUGUUGAAUCUUUAAAUCCAUUAACACAGUGUGUUUUUUGAUUUCUUUAGAUCUAUGAUUUCUUUCAUCAGCAUUUUGUAAUUUUCAACAUAUAUAUCUGUACUUGUUUCAUAAGAUUAUGCAAAAUGGAGUAUUUUUUUCUUUGUAUUGAUUGUAAAUAUUAUGUUUUGAUUUUCAGUCUUCACAUAUUCAAUGUUAGAAUAUAAAUAUCUUGGUACUGUUUGGAUAUUUGACCCCUCCAAACAUCGUGUUGAAAUUUGAUCCCCAGUGUUGGAAAUGGGGCCUAAUGAAAAAUGUUUAGGUCAUGGGGGCAAAUUACUUAUGAAUGGCUUGGUACCAUCCUCAGGGUAAUGAAUGAGUUCUCCUUCUAGUACUUCCCAUGAAAGCUGGUUGUCAAAAGAGGCCGGCCCCUCCCUCCUCCCUCUCUUACUUCCUCUCCUGUUGUGUGAUCUUUGCACAUGCAAACUCCCAUUCACCUUCUGUCAUGAGUGGAAGCAGCCUGAAGUCCUCACCAGAAGCGGAUGCUACACCCAUGCUUCUUACGCAGCCUGUGGAAUUAUGAGCCAAAUAAACCUCCUUUCUUAUAAA